GGAUUGUGGCUCAGUGGCAGAGCACUUGCCUCUCAAGUAUGAGGCACUGAGUUCGAUCCUCAGCACCA
rnacentral:tRNA from 1 species